ACUCCUACGGGAGGCAGCAGUGGGGAAUAUUGCACAAUGGGCGCAAGCCUGAUGCAGCCAUGCCGCGUGUAAUUGGAAGAAGGCCUUCGGGUUGUAAAGUUACUUUCAGCAAGUGAGGAAGGUGGGAUAUGUUAAAUAGCAUAUUCAUUUGACGUAGCNGCAGAAAGAAGCNCCGGGCUAACUCCGUGCCAGCAGCCGCGGUAAUACGGAGGGUGCGAGCGUUAAUCGGAAUUACUGGGCGUAAAGCGCAUGCAGGUGGUUUGUUAAGUCAGAUGUGAAAGCCCGGGGCUCAACCUCGGAAUUGCAUUUGAAACUGGCAAAAACUAGAGUACUGUAGAGGGGGGU
rnacentral:rRNA from 1 species